UAAUGUAUAAUGCUCUAAACUACUCUUAUUGAUAAACAAAAAAUAUAGGAAAAACAAUUAUUUAAAAAAAAAAGAAAAAAAAAAGAUCACAGUAACUGUGUAACGAGUAUAACGGCUAUACUAGUUAUUAAAAAAAGAGAGGACCUGCAGCGCUUAUCUUGCGUUUUUAAAAAGCGUAUAGCCAUGAGUAUAGGCGUAUGGCUAUACCCAUUUAAAUAUUUUAUCAAAUUUUAUUUUUAUUCAAUAAUAUGUGUAUAAUACAUAAAUUUUGUGUGUAAUAUUGAAAAUUUUCUAAAAAAAC
rnacentral:lncRNA from 1 species